rnacentral:rRNA from 1 species
UACGGAGGAUGCGAGCGUUAUCCGGAUUUAUUGGGUUUAAAGGGUGCGUAGGCGGCUUAGUAAGUCAGCGGUGAAAUUUUGCAGCUUAACUAUAACAGUGCCGUUGAUACUGCCAGGCUAGGAUUUGGUUGCUGUGGGUGGAAUGUGUGGUGUAGCGGUGAAAUGCUUAGAUAUCACACAGAAUAUCGAUUGCGAAGGCAGCUCACAAAGCCAAGAUUGACGCUGAGGCACGAAAGUGUGGGGAUCAAACA